GGCCGGGUACCAGAGUAGUUAAUGGCCAGGUCUGCAAAACCUUGGAUUCGUGGGUGCAAGUCCCAUCCCGGCCUCAA
rnacentral:tRNA from 1 species